UAUGUCACGCCCCGCAUAAAUUCAGCCCAAAAUUUCAGCAUUCUAGACAUUUCCAGGGCCAUCUAGUCGCGUUUGGAGCUGCCCGGAAGGUUCCAGAACAGCCCGUAUUUUUCCAGCAACGUGGGGAUGCUAUUAGGACCAAAAUACAGCCAAGAAGGGUCUAGAAAACGCUGGAGAAAGCUGGUCAAAACAGCCAUAAAAAUCUGCCCAAAGAACUUUCUAGAAUCCAACAUAAUAUCAUGAUAUUUAGUAACAAAUAUCUUAGAUAUUUAGGCAUGAUAUUUUGUAAAGAAUAAUCUAGAACAAGAACAAUCUAGAUAGGCCCCAAUCUAGUAUAAAUAGCUGAUUUGGGGUCUCAUUUGAGACAACCCCAAACACUUGUAAACAUCACACUCUUGUAAGCUUCCUUUGUAUAAUACAAAGCAUUUCUCUUGUAUACUUGUGUUCAAGUAUUACAAGCAACUUCCUUGCGAUCCAACGUUCCCUUUUAGCAACUUUCAUAACCAAAACCCAACGAUACUAACUCGGCUAGGCUUACUUAGACCGUGUACUAAGGCCGCACACGAGUUGAAAGACUAACUCCGUGACAAGUGGUAUCAGAGCGAAGUUUCGAUCCAUCUAAGAUGGCUGAUGAUAAGACUCAACUUAUAACCACGGCUGGUGGAGAAGAGACCCGUGGGAGCGAUGACACUCGCAAAGGAGCAAGAAAGAAUCGAGAUAUGUCCAAGGACUUGGUCGCAAGCUUAGACAAACGUGUGGAAGACGUGGAGACAUCGAUAGCUGAAUUCAAGACACAAGUUGAAGAAUUCAAGGCUGAAGUCGAUAUCUUCCAGACAAACACUAACGAGUCGCUGGAACAAAUAGGUAGCGAGCUCGGCGAGUUAAGAGACGACAUCAAACUUGCUAUGCAAGUCAUGCAAGCUGAAUUAAAAGAGAUGUUUAUGAAGGAGCUGGGGCAGGUACAAAGCAAUAUAGAGAGCAAGUUUGCUGAAAAAUUCAAGGAAUUGCAAAUGGAACUGAACAUUUGCAAACAAGCACUAGCAAACCGAGGCGACGCCAUCAUUACUUCAAAGACUGAAGUCCCAAAGCCAUCUCCGUUUGUUGGAAAACGGGAGGCACGAGCCGUUGACGACUUCAUUUGGGAGAUCGAGCAGUACUUUGAAGCUAUAGACAUCGUUGACGAUGGCAAGAAAAUCAAGACGGUGACCUUAUACUUAAAGGAAACCGCGGCUCUAUGGUGGCGACGGAAGCACAUGGAGAUCGAAAAAGGUAUGUGGACCAUCAACACUUGGGCUGAUUUUGUAAAAGAAAUUAAAAAGCAAUUUUAUCCGGAAAAUGCCGAACACGAUGCAAAGAUUCUGCUACGAAACCUUAGGCAAAGGGGUAGCAUCAAAGAUUAUAUCAAUGAAUUCACUACCCUUGUGCUUGAGAUUCCGGGACUUGUCGCCCAAGGAUGCUCUCAUAUACUUUGUAGAUGGCUUGCAACAAUGGGCCAAAACUGAACUUGAACGAAGAAAUGUUCAAGACUUAUCAUCAGCAAUCUCUGUUGCUGAAAACUUGCACGACCGUAAUGAAAAUCGUUCGACAAGAUCAGCAACUACAGAGACUGGCGAUGCAAAAGGUGGGGGAGCAAAACCCACCAACCAAAAUCAAUACCGGAAGAAUGGUGACCGGGCAUUAACAUUAUAUAACAAAGGAAAAGCCGUAAACAAAGGCUGCUUCCUUUGCGAUGGGCCUCAUGAUGCACGAGACUGCCCAAAGAAAGCCAGACUAACGGCCCUUAUAAGGACCGGCGAUGAUGAACCUGAGGAAACCGAAGAGGUUCUCUUAGGCGCAAUGCAACUUCAAGUUCUUAAUGCAUUAACCCAACUAACGGGAAAACCCUUGGAGAUGGCAAAACAAACUAACCCAACAACCAUCGAGGGCAACACAAAGAGACAAGGUCUUCGCUUUGUGAGCAUAAAAAUAAAAGGAGAAACCCUUAAGGCGUUGGUGGACACCGGUGCCUGCCACAACAUUAUGUCACUAAGCGAAGCAAAAAGACUCGGCUUAAGGAUCACCCCACAAGAAGGUUGGAUUAAAGCCGCUGAUGGAGAACCCAUACUGAUCGAAGGUAUUGCAUGGGGCGUGAAAGCCAAGAUUGGGGAAUGGGCAGGCAAGUUACACUUCUCGAUUGUACCAAUUGACAACUACGACAUCAUACUCGGGUUGGAUUUCUUUGAGAAAGAAAAUGUCUUCCCAGCACCAUUUCUAAAUACACUUUACAUCCUCAAAGGAGAUAAAGUGUACGCCACACCCUUGGAGUCCAACACAAGGAACCGAGGCAAAACGUUAUCCGCAAUACAACUCAUGAAAACACAUGAGGCAUUUGGGCAUCGCAACGAGGCCGUUGCGAAUUUAGGUGGGGGAGGAUGUCACGCCCCGCAUAAAUUCAGCCCAAAAUUUCAACAUUCUAGACAUUUCCAGGGCCAUCUAGUCGCGUUUGGAACUGCCCGGAAGGUUCCAGAACAGCCCGUAUUUUUCCAGCAACGUGGGGAUGCUAUGAGGACCAAAAUACAGCCAAGAAGGGUCUAGAAAACGCUGGAGAAAGCUGGUCAAAACAGCCAUAAAAAUAUGCCCAAAGAACUUUCUAGAAUCCAACAUAAUAUCAUGAUAUUUAGUAACAAAUAUCUUAGAUAUUUAGGCAUGAUAUUUUGUAAAGAAUAAUCUAGAACAAGAACAAUCUAGAUAGGCCCCAAUGUAGUAUAAAUAGCUGAUUUGGGGUCUCAUUUGAGACACCCCCAAACACUUGUAAACAUCACACUCUUGUAAGCUUCCUUUGUAUAAUACAAAUCAUUUCUCUUGUAUACUUGUGUUCAAGUAUUACAAGCAACUUCCUUGCGAUCCAACGUUCCCUUUUAGCAACUUUCAUAACCAAAACCAAACGAUACUAACUCGGCUAGGCUUACUUAGACCGUGUUCUAAGGCCGCACGCGAGUUGAAAGACUAACUCCGUGACAAUUAGGUAACCAGUUGCUACUACAAACUUCACCAUAUUUACAUUAAAAACCCAUUUAGACACUCCUCUAUAUAAAAUACAGACAUGGAAUUGAACCGUCAAGCUGCCACGAUUGAACCCCGUCAAGCGCACCGCAGUCGAACCCCGCACCAGCAGUAUAAGAAUUCAAAGGCAAACCCAUAUAUGAAGACUUCAUUUGCAAACCAUACUUGCACGCCUUGAAAUGGCACUUAUUUGCAAACCAUACUUGUGCGGGUCAACCUUCCACCUGGUGCAGUCACAUAACCCAUGGCUCUUACAUCGCUUGGAUCCAAUGGUGUUACUUGGUUAGAAACAGACCUUUUAACCGUUGGCUUGGGUUUUCUCAUGCUUUCAAUGGGACUUACGCUAACAUUUGAGGAUUUCAGACGUCGUUUAAGGAGUCCAUGGACUGUUGGCGUAGGGUUUCUUGCUCAGUACUUGAUCAAACCUUUGUUGGGAUUCUUCAUUGCAAUGACUCUAAAUGUUGCAACUUAUAUAUCGAAAGGAAAUGUAGCACUUUCUGUUCUCAUGACAACAUGUUCGAUUAUUGGAGCUAUUAUCAUGACACCACUAUUGACUAAACUUCUAGCUGGUAUUUUGGUUCUGUUACGCGGUUUCUUUUGUGGCAUUUGCUAUUAUUGUUGGUUUUGUUUGCGGUUUCGAACUAGUUAGCGUUUGUGUACUUUUAUAUAUAUAUCAAUGGUUUGGUAUGUAUUUGGAAUACUGAAAAUAGCAGUAAAACUGGGAAUAGCAAUACAAUGGAUUUUUUUUACUGUUUUUGACUUUUAGUGGCGACAAAUAUCGUCGCUAAAGAUCAAUAUGUCGCCACUAAAAGUGGACAACCUGUAGCGGCGACUUCUUUAGUGGCGACAAGUGGCACUUUUAGCGGCGACAAUUGUCGUCGCUAAAACUCAGUUUUCCUGUAGUGGGUACAGAUUGUUCAAGCUCCCGAGAGCCUCAAACUUCUUAUCAGCAAGUUUCCCCAAGAGCCUCACAAUUGUUCCUAAUGGCAAUGUCAUGAAGCUAAACAGAAUGUCAACAAAAGUCUAAUCAGCUUCAGCAUACACCCCUCUCUUAUUCACUUUGUCUAUGAUCACUUUUACCGAGAUUUUAGCUUCGUUUGUUUUAGUGUCGGCCAUAGCUUCAGAACCCUAACCAAGAAUAUCUAUAAAACACUGUGUAUGUGUUGGAUACUAGCAUUUUCUGG